GCGGGUGUGGCGGAAUGGUAGACGCGCUGGUUUUAGGUACCAGUGGCUUAGGCCGUGGAGGUUCAAGUCCUCUCACCCGCACCA
rnacentral:tRNA from 1 species